GUGAAUAUAGCUUAUUAAAGCCUUAGUCUGUGAUCCUAAAGAUGAGGUUUAGCCAACCUCUAUUCACC
rnacentral:tRNA from 1 species